GCCUGGGUGGCUCAGUUGGUUGAGCAUCCGACUUUGGCUCAGGUCAUGAUCUUGUGGUUUGUGAGUUCAAGCCCCACAUUAGGCU
rnacentral:tRNA from 1 species